rnacentral:tRNA from 1 species
GCCGGGAUGGCGGAACUGGCAGACGCAGCGGACUCAAAAUCCGCCGGGCUUCGGCCCUUGGGGGUUCAAUUCCCCCUCCCGGCACCA